GCUCUCUUUGGCAGCACAGAUGCUAAAAUUGGGAUGAUACAGAGAAGAUUACCAUGGUCCCUGUGCAAGGAUGACACACAAAUUCAUGAAGAAGUCUGUAUUUAU